AUGCAUGUGCAAGUGAAUCUUGUAUUCAGAAAGUGAAACCGCGAAUGGCUCAUUAAAUCAGUUACUAUCUAAAAGUUUAGUAGCGCGUCACAUGAAUAACUGCGGUAACACUGCAGCUAAUCCAUGCAGAUCGCUUGCUGCCCUUUGUGGGGCGAGAGCUUUUACAAGAAUUCGCCGGGUUACUCUGUAGAAGGGAACAUACUGGAUGAAUCCAAAGUAACUGAAAGAUCCCAGAUGGCUUCGGCCUGGGGACGAAACUUACGAGUUUCUGACCUAUCAACCUAAGACGGUAGUGUAACGGACUACCGUGGUUGUGACGGGUAACGGGGAAUCAGGGUUCGAUUCCGGAGAGGGAGCCUGAGAAACGGCUACCACAUCUAAGGAAAGGCAGCAGGCUCGCAAAUUACCCACUCCUAGAUGAGGGAGGUAGUGACGAGAAAUAACCAUUGAACCUAAAGGGUUUAUAAUGGUAAUGGAAAGGAUGCAAAAGCUCCUUUGAUAAACGAGUGGAGGGCAAGUCUGGUGCCAGCAGCCGCGGUAAUACCAGCCUCCACAAGCGUAUGCAAAAGUUGCUGCGUUUAAAAAGCUCAUAGUUGGAUCUUUAUAGGCGUUGGGAAUAACGAGCAUACUGUGCGCAGUCACUGCUUGCCCAAUUCUCUAUUGAGUGCACCGGAGAAACUGCUUGCACUUAACUGUGUUGAGCAGUGGACCUGGUGUAUUACUUUGAGUAAAUCAGAGUGAUCAAAGCGUCCGCCUUAGUGGAUGUGCAUAAUAAAGCAUGGAAUUAGGGAGAAUGACCUGCGUGUCUGUAUGCCAGGUGGUUGAUAUGCGGUGAUGGUUGAAAGGAACAGGCGGGGGCAUUUGUAUUGUUACGGGAGGGGUGAAAUCCGUUGAUCGUAGCAAGACAAACUACUGCGAAAGCAUUUGCCAAGAAUGUUUUCAUUAAUCAAGAACGAAAGUUAGAGUAUUGAAGAGGAUUAGAUACCCUCGUAAUUCUAACCAUAAACUAUGCCUACUUACGGUUUGUCAAGUCAAAUAUAACUUGACAAGCAUUAUACCGGGAAACCAAAGUUUUUUGGUUCCGGGGGAAGUAUGGUUGCAAAAUCGAAACUUAAAGGAAUUGACGGAAGGGCACCACCAGGAGUGGAGCCUGCGGCUUAAUUUGACUCAACACGGGAAAACUCACCCGGUCCAGACAUCUUAAGGAUUGACAGAUGGUAUGCCUUUCAUGAUUCGGUGAGCGGUGGUGCAUGGCCGUUUCUAGUUAGUGGAAUGAUCUGUCUGCUUGAUUGCGAUAACGAACGAGAUCUUAUCCACCUAACUAAUAACUGUCACUUGACUAUGUCAACGUGACUUGAAAACUUCUUAGAGGCACUUAGCGGGAUUUAAAUACCGCGAGAGAAGUGAGGCAAAAACAGGUCUGUGAUGCCCUUAGAUGUUCUGGACCGCACGCGCGCUACAAUGUGCGAACAUAAUGUGCGGACUCCGUCCCUUGCCUAUCAGGUCAGGGCAAACGGGAAGUCUGCUAGUUCCAUAAAGGGGAUCGAAUAUUGUAAGAUAUUUGCUAACCUGGAACUCCUCGUAAUCUGGAGUCAACAACUCCAGUUGAUUACGUCCCUGCCCUUUGUACACACCGCCCGUCGCUACUACUGAUUGGUUGAUUAAGCAAGAACUUCUGAGACUGGCUGUGAUACUUAGGUUGAUCAGUUGGUUGACUGGAAGGGCAAGCUUAAUUUGCUA
rnacentral:rRNA from 1 species